GCGGACAUAGCUCAGUUGGGAGAGCGUCAGACUGAAGUAUGGGUCUUGACCCGUUGGAAACUUCAAUCACUUGAUCUGAAGGUCGUGUGUUCAAUCCACACUGGCCGCA
rnacentral:tRNA from 1 species